GACGAACGCUGGCGGCGUGCUUAACACAUGCAAGUCGAACGGAAAGGCCCUGCUUUUGUGGGGUGCUCGAGUGGCGAACGGGUGAGUAACACGUGAGUAACCUGCCCUUGACUUUGGGAUAACUUCAGGAAACUGGGGCUAAUACCGGAUAGGAGCUCCUGCUGCUUGGUGGGGGUUGGAAAGUUUCGGCGGUUGGGGAUGGACUCGCGGCUUAUCUACUUGUUGGUGGGGUAGUGGCUUACCAAGGCUUUGACGGGUAGCCGGCCUGAGAGGGUGACCGGCCACAAUGGGACUGAGAGACGGACCAGACGCCUACGGGAGGCAGCAGUGGGGAAUAUUGCACAAUGGGCGGAAGCGUGAUGCAGCAACGCCGCGUGCGGGAUGACCGCCUUCGGGCUGUAAACCGCUUUCGCCUGUGACGAAGCGUGAGUGACGGUAAUGGGUAAAGAAGCACCGGCUAACUACGUG
rnacentral:rRNA from 1 species